rnacentral:tRNA from 1 species
GGAAUAUAGCUCAGUUGGUAGAGUGCUUGCCUUGCAUACACAAGACCCUGGGUUUGAUCCCCAGCACCA